AUACGGAGGGGGCUAGCGUUGUUCGGAAUUACUGGGCGUAAAGCGCACGUAGGCGGAUUAAAAAGUUAGGGGUGAAAUCCCAGGGCUUAACCCUGGAACUGCCUUUAAAACUAGUAGUCUAGAGUUCGAGAGAGGUGAGUGGAAUUCCAAGUGUAGAGGUGAAAUUCGUAGAUAUUUGGAGGAACACCAGUGGCGAAGGCGGCUCACUGGCUCGAUACUGACGCUCAGGUGCGAAAGCGUGGGGAGCAAACAGGAUUAGAAACCCCAGUAGUCC
rnacentral:rRNA from 1 species